AGCUUUGCACGGUGGCAGUAUCGUAGCCAAUGAGGUUUAUCCAAGGCGCAGUUAUUGCUAAUUGAAAACUUUUCCCAAUACGCCACCACAACGACUUGAAAUAUAGCCGGUAAUUUUUUGACAGUCUCUACGGCGA
ensembl:snRNA U4 U4 spliceosomal RNA